rnacentral:rRNA from 1 species
AGUGGCGGACGGGUGAGUAACGCGUGGUAACCUGCCCCAUACAGGGGGAUAACAGCCGGAAACGGCUGCUAAUACCGCAUGCACAUGCGGGGGCGCAUGCCCCUGGAUGGAAAGCUUUCGCGGUAUGGGAUGGGCCCGCGUCUGAUUAGGCAGUUGGCGGGGUAACGGCCCACCAAACCGACGAUCAGUAGCCGGCCUGAGAGGGCAACCGGCCACAUUGGGACUGAGACACGGCCCAAACUCCUACGGAAGGCAGCAG